UUGAGCCGUAUGCAGGGAAACUCGCACGUACGGUUCUCGGGGGCCCGAUCUUCGCAAGAAGGUCGGGCCCCCGAC
rfam:Candidatus Burkholderia brachyanthoides strain TZHbot7 BRCHctg533, whole genome shotgun sequence.